AUCGGCAAGUUUCAAUUUAUUGACUUUUGUUUGCCAACUAAGGCCCCUUAACGUGUUUUCUCGCAGGGAUUGGUACAAAAAUAGCCGAAUUUAGCCAAAAAUGGCCAAAAACAGCCGACUCGAGGUAAAUUGCCGCCACGGGCGGCGUUGCAAUCGCCAGAGCACGAUGGAGCCGCCGUACCAGAAUUCUGAAAUUGGCCAAAAAGGUUUCCUAACACGAAUUUUGAGUUUUUUUAGGAU
rnacentral:lncRNA from 1 species